UACGUAGGGUGCGAGCGUUAAUCGGAAUUACUGGGCGUAAAGCGUGCGCAGGCGGUUUUUUAAAGCAGAUGUGAACUCCCCGGGCUUAACCUGGGGACUGCAUUUGGAACUGGAAGACUAGAGUACGGCAGAGGGGGGUAGAAUUCCACGUGUAGCAGUGAAAUGCGUAGAUAUGUGAAGGAAUACCGAUGGCGAAGGCAGCCCCCUGGGUCGAUACUGACGCUCAUGCACGAAAGCGUGGGGAGCAAACAGG
rnacentral:rRNA from 1 species